UUGGGAAGCCGGGGCGUUGGGGUGCAGGGACUGCUCCUUUGAAGGAGGCCCACCCGGACCGAUGCUGUGGAACUGGGGAGUCCCGCCUUCCAUGGCCCUCGAGAUAAAAUCCAAACUCCUGAACACAGCCUUACAAGGACUUGCGUGGUCUGGCUCACCUCAUCCCAGACACCACCUUCUCAACAGACCUUUCUUAAUUCAGCAAAUAUUGAUUGAGUGCCUAUUGUCCCAGGCCUGAGGACUUAGUGGUCAAGUCUAAAUGCUGCUCCUUUAGAAGACACCUUAUCUGA